rnacentral:misc_RNA from 1 species
AUCUUCCGGAUAUAAACCCAACCCAUUUUGCAUACUUGUUGGAUUUUGAUACUCAGUCACGUCUGACACCGGAGAAACCUGGGUAUCCAAAGACUCCAGCGAGUUUCCUGAUGGCUCUGGCAUCACCCACUCCAUCAUGGCGUCGUUUAUUUGCGCGGCUUCACUAUUUGCAGGGAUAUCAUUGUGGUUGCUGCUGCAGCUGGAGUAUGCGGUGGAUUGACCAGCGG